rnacentral:rRNA from 1 species
UACGAAGGGGGCUAGCGUUGCUCGGAAUUACUGGGCGUAAAGCGCACGUAGGCGGAUCUUUAAGUCAGGGGUGAAAUCCUGGAGCUCAACUCCAGAACUGCCUUUGAUACUGAGGACCUUGAGUUCGGGAGAGGUGAGUGGAACUGCGAGUGUAGAGGUGAAAUUCGUAGAUAUUCGCAAGAACACCAGUGGCGAAGGCGGACUCACUGGCCCGAUACGUGACGCUGAGGUGC